rnacentral:rRNA from 1 species
GUGAGGAAUUUUCCGCAAUGGGCGAAAGCCUGACGGAGCAAUGCCGCGUGAAGGAUGAAGGCCUAUGGGUUGUAAACUUCUUUUCUCAGAAAAGAAUUAUGACGGUAUCUGAGGAAUAAGCAUCGGCUAACUCUGUGCCAGCAGCCGCGGUAAGACAGAGGAUGCAAGCGUUAUCCGGAAUGAUUGGGCGUAAAGCGUCUGCAGGUUGUUUAAAAAGUAUUCUGUCAAAGAUUAGGGCUUAACCCUAGAUAGGCAGAAUAAACUUUUAAGCUAGAGUUUGGUAGAGGCAGAGGGAAUUCCCGGUGGAGCGGUGAAAUGCGUAGAUAUCGGGAGGAACACCAAAGGCGAAGGCACUCUGCUGGGCCAAUACUAACACUGAGAGACGAAAGCGAGGGGAGCAAAUGGGAUUAGAUACCCGUGUAGUCC